rnacentral:misc_RNA from 1 species
AUGAGCUUAGAAAAUUCCGUAAAAUUUAUGUACUAACCCCUGUGUUGUGGGCUUCGUGUAGGUAUUUUCAAUUCGUAGAAAUUCGACAGUUGUCCGGGUCUGUGAAUUUCCGGCCAGACAGACCGGCUACCGAAAAAGUCUUGGAAUUGGAUCGAGAAUUUGGCUACCUCACCGUUGUCAGACGCCCCGAGCGCGUUCCCGAGAUCGGAAUUAGCAUAGGUAAACCCGAACCUUACU